rnacentral:rRNA from 1 species
GACGAACGCUGGCGGCGUGCUUAACACAUGCAAGUCGAACGGUAAGGCUCCAGCUUGCUGGGGUACACGAGUGGCGAACGGGUGAGUAACACGUGGGUGACCUGCCCUGCACUUCGGGAUAAGCCUGGGAAACUGGGUCUAAUACCGGAUAGGACCAUGGUGUGGAUGCUGUGGUGGAAAGUUUUUUCGGUGUGGGAUGGGCCCGCGGCCUAUCAGCUUGUUGGUGGGGUAAUGGCCUACCAAGGCGGCGACGGGUAGCCGGCCUGAGAGGGUGGACGGCCACAUUGGGACUGAGACACGGCCCAG